rnacentral:misc_RNA from 1 species
GGUGAAGAACGUAGCGAAAUGCGAUAAGUAAUGUGAAUUGCAGAAUUCAGUGAAUCAUCGAAUCUUUGAACGCACAUUGCGCCCUCUGGUAUUCCGGGGGGCAUGCCUGUUCGAGCGUCAUUAUAACCACUCAAGCUCUCGCUUGGUAUUGGGGUUCGCGGUUUCGCGGCCCCUAAAAUCAGUGGCGGUGCCUGUCGGCUCUACGCGUAGUAAUACUUCUCGCGAUUGAGUUCGAUAGGUCUACUUGCCAGUAACCCCCAAUUUUUACAGGUUGACCUCGGAUCAGGUAGGGAUACCCGCUGAACUUAAGCAUAUCAAUAAGCGGAGGA